rnacentral:rRNA from 1 species
CCUACGGGCGGCAGCAGUGGGGGAUAUUGCACAAUGGGGGGAACCCUGAUGCAGCAACGCCGCGUGAGUGAAGGAGGGCUUCGGAUUGUAAAGCUCUGUUGGCAGGGAAGAGGAAGGACGGUACCUGCCUAGGAAGCCACGGCUAACUACGUGCCAGCAGCCGCGGUAAUACGUAGGUGGCCAGCGUUGUUCGGAAUAACUGGGGGUAAAGGAUGCGUAGGCUGUUAAACAAGUAAUGUGGUAAAUAUAUAGGCUUAACCUGUAGAAAGCAUAUAAAACUGCUUAACUGGAGUGCAGGAGGGGUAAGUGGAAUGCCUGGUGUAGCGGUGAAAUGCGUAGAGAUUAGGAAGAACACCAGUGGCGAAGGCGACUUACUGGACUGUAACUGACGCUGAGGCAUGAGAGCGUGGGGAGCAAACAGGAUUAGAUACUCUUGUAGUC